rnacentral:rRNA from 1 species
AGUGAACGCUGGCGGUAGGCCUAACACAUGCAAGUCGAACGGCAGCACAGUAAGAGCUUGCUCUUACGGGUGGCGAGUGGCGGACGGGUGAGGAAUACAUCGGAAUCUACUUUUUCGUGGGGGAUAACGUAGGGAAACUUACGCUAAUACCGCAUACGACUACGGGUGAAAGCAAGGGAUCUUCGGACCUUGCGCGAUUGAAUUAGCCGAUGUCGGAUUAGCUAGUUGGCGGGGUAAAGGCCCACCAAGGCGACGAUCCGUAGCUGGUCUGAGAGGAUGAUCAGCCACACUGGAACUGAGACACGGUCCAGACUCCUACGGGAGGCAGCAGUGGGGAAUAUUGGACAAUGGGCGCAAGCCUGAUCCAGCCAUACCGCGUGGGUGAAGAAGGCCUUCGGGUUGUAAAGCCCUUUUGUUGGGAAAGAAAAGCAGCAGGUUAAUACCCCGCUGUUCUGACGGUACCCAAAGAAUAAGCACCGGCUAACUUCGUG